CUACAAAAAGGGCCUUUACCAGCAAUUAUUUAGCGGCGAUAAGACAAUUGCCGCUAAUUGUUGAUUCUUUAAGCUGAAAUAUUAACGGCACAUGAACAUUAGCCGAUGAAAGAAAUAGUUUUACCGAUAAUAGAAAUAAUUUACCACUAAAAAUCGCUAAUUGAAACCAAUCUUAUCAUUUUGCCUUUCCCUCCAAUUCUUUUUCAUAACAUUUUGAUAUUCCCUCCACUUAUUUUAAGAAAAAAUAAAAGGAAAACCUAGCCCAAAAUUCAAUUUUAGCUGCGCAUCGUAGACUAAAGCAACUGUUCUCUCUCUGAAACUGAGGUCACCGGUCAGCCAUCUUCUCUGCAACAAUGUUUAUUUUGGGUAGGUGCUGCUCAACCGUGGCUGUCUCAAUCUUCUCCCUCUCAUCGGUAUCCUUCUCUUUUUCGUGUAGGUUUCAAGAUUGUUGCUGACAUCAGUCUUCUCCUUCACUUUUUUGUCUUCAUCGGCAAAAUAUUCUGCUUCCCAGAUGAUAUCUUUGAGCUAUGCAGUCAGAAUUACUCCAAAUGAGACAAUUAAUGCGCAAAUAUACUCCCUUUGAAUCUACGCCUUAAGAUAUCAAUGGCACCUCAAGUGAACAGGUAACUCGAUUUCAUAAGUUUUAAACUUUUUUAAUGAAAUUUUAAUUGUAUAAAGGUAUUAUCAACUAACGUGUUAAUAUUUAUCCGGUCCCUGAUGCCAACAGUGGCCAUGAACGAGUACCACAAGCAUCAAGGAUGCCUAGUGUUGCUGAAAAUACUCAACGUUCUCACGGUACUACUCAUCUAUAUCCUUAGGCUCCUCAAGGCAUUUCCCAAUAUCUUUGUCAAUCUAGAAAAGUAUUGGUUUUACCAAAAAUGCAUGGAUAUUUUGUACGUGCUGUCUAUCCUCACAGUAUUCUUCUUUACUUGCUUUUCAACUUCUGCCUGCUCCUACACCAUUUCCCUGCAAACUCAGCCGUGAGAACUUCUGCCAUAUUGCUGCUUUGGCACUUGACAAGGGAUGAAAAGGCCAUAAUCAUGUCACCAUUCGAAUCCCGGUGCGCCUCCGAUGCCUGCUUACCUGUUUCCUUAAAGGCAUACUGUCUGUUGUUCGUAAAUUUCGCAUGUGGAAGAUUUCAAUAGGAUGAAGAGUUGAGGAAAUUAUUUGAAGACAUUAUUCGAUAGGAUUGGUUAUGUUAGUUCAAACAAUAUAAGUUUAUUUUUUAAGUUGUGACAUUAAUAUUUAGGAUUAGUACUUCAUUUUAGUUGUUUAGAUUCAAUGAGAUUUUGCAAUACUUUAUUGCUA